rnacentral:rRNA from 1 species
UGGGGAAUAUUGGACAAUGGGGGAAACCCUGAUCCAGCGACGCCGCAUGUGUGAAGAAGGCCUGCGGGUUGUAAAGCACUUUCGGUGGGAACGAAAUAUGCCGGGCUAAUACCCCGGUAGGCUGACGUUACUCAAUGAAGAAGCACCGGCUAACUCUGUGCCAGCAGCCGCGGUAAUACAGAGGGUGCGAGCGUUAAUCGGAAUUACUGGGCGUAAAGCGUGCGCAGGCGGUUGUGUAAGUCAGAUGUGAAAUCCCCGGGCUCAACCUGGGAAUUGCAUUUGAGACUGCACGGCUAGAGUGUGUCAGAGGGGGGUAGAAUUCCACGUGUAGCAGUGAAAUGCGUAGAUAUGUGGAGGAAUACCGAUGGCGAAGGCAGCCCCCUGGGAUAACACUGACGCUCAUGCACGAAAGCGUGGGGAGCAAACAGGAUUAGAUACCCCCGUAGUCCCUGAGCGGGCUGGCAAGGCGCAU